AACCUUGUCGAUUGACGUUACCCGCAGAAGAAGCACCCGGCUACUCCGUGCCAGCAGCCGCGGUAAUACGGAGGGUGCAAGCGUUAAUCGGAUUUACUGGGCGUAAAGCGCACGCAGGCGGUCUGUCAAGUCGGAUGUGAAAUCCCCGGGCUCAACCUGGGAACUGCAUUCGAAACUGGCAGGCUAGAGUCUUGUAGAGGGGGGUAGAAUUCCAGGUGUAGCGGUGAAAUGCGUAGAGAUCUGGAGGAAUACCGGUGGCGAAGGCGGCCCCCUGGACAAAGACUGACGCUCAGGUGCGAAAGCGUGGGGAGCAAACAGGAUUAGAUACCCUGGUAGUCCACGCCGUAAACGAUGUCGACUUGGAGGUUGUGCCCUUGAGGCGUGGCUUCCGGAGCUAACGCGUUAAGUCGACCGCCUGGGGAGUACGGCCGCAAGGUUAAAACUCAAAUGAAUUGACGGGGGCCCGCACAAGCGGUGGAGCAUGUGGUUUAAUUCGAUGCAACGCGAAGAACCUUACCUACUCUUGACAUCCAGAGAACUUUCCAGAGAUGGAUUGGUGCCUUCGGGAACUUUGAGACAGGUGCUGCAUGGCUGUCGUCAGCUCGUGUUGUGAAAUGUUGGGUUAAGUCCCGCAACGAGCGCAACCCUUAUCCUUUGUUGCCAGCGGUUAGGCCGGGAACUCAAAGGAGACUGCCAGUGAUAAACUGGAGGAAGGUGGGGAUGACGUUACCAAGUCACCUUGGGUUUUAUCCCUGGUUUGUUGUUACAAAGUUACCCUUGGAUUUUAUCCCUGGUCCGUUGUUAAAAAGUUACCGUUGGGUUUGAUCCCGGGUCAGUUGUUACAAAGUAGCCGUUGAGUUUGAUCCCGGGUCAGUUGUAACAAAGUAGCCGUUGAGUUUGAUCCUGGCUCAGUUGUAACAAGGUAGCCGUAGAGUUUGAUCCUGGCUCAGUCGUAACAAGGUAGCCGUAGAGUUUGAUCCUGGCUCAGUCGUAACAAG
rnacentral:rRNA from 1 species